rnacentral:lncRNA from 1 species
GAAAUCUCUCCAGGUGUUUUUUUUGGGUGGGGAGGUGGGUGAAGAUUGGCCCUGAGCUAACAUCUGUUGCCUGUCUUCCUCUUUUUGCUUGAGGAAGAUUGUUGCUGAGCUCACAUCUGUGCCAGUCUUCUCCUAUUUUAUGUGGGGUGCCACCACAGCAUGGCUUGACAAGCAGUGCACAGGUCUGCACCCAGGAUCUGAACCUGUGAACCCCAGACCACCGAAGCAGAGCACGCGAGCUUACCACUGCACCACAGGGCUGGCCCCUCUCCAGGCACUGCCAACAGCUUUCCACAGCGGAUGCUCCAUUUUACAUUCUCACCCGCAAUGUGCAAGGGUUCCAGUUUCUGCACGUCCUUCCCACCGUGUGUGAGUCUCUGUAUUGACAGCAGCCGUCUCCGCGGUGGGGGCGGUGCCUCCAGGUGUUUGAAGCACACCGGAUUUGAUACAGCAACAGAGCCAGCUGCACGGGAGCCUGCCCAGUGUAGUCUUUUGGCUUUCCAGCCUCUGCAUGUGAUGAGGUGGGAAUGGAUGCCGAGGGCCACGCACCAUGCCUGUUCAGCAGGGGCUCAGGACCCAGUACCCUUGAUAUCCCCAAGAAAUGUGGUGCCAGGAAGUGGCACCCCUUCAGCCAUACCUGCCUGCAGGCUCCCUCCUGCCAAAGGCCUUUGCAGGUGUCAUUCCCUCCUUCUCGAUGGUUCCU